GCCGGCCUGGUGCACGGCGUCGACCAGCUCGCGGCUGGCGUCGCGCUGAUUGAUGGCGCAGCCGUUCGAGCCAGUCGGCCGGCAC
rnacentral:tRNA from 1 species